ACCACCACACUCCGCUAAUUUUUGUAUUUUUAGUAGAGUUUCACCAUGUUAGCCAGGCUGGUCUUGAAGUCCUGAAGUCAGGUGAUCCACCUGACCUCAAGUGAUCCACUUUCCUCAGCCUUCCAAAGUUCUGGGUUUGCAGGUGUGAGCCACCAUGCCCGGCACAAAUCUUAGUAAGGUUCUUAAGCUGUACAUGAAGUGGCAUCGUCAAAUUUACAUCUAGAAAAUUAAAACAAUUUAUGUUCCCACUUCAAAUGUAUGGGAGUGCCAAUGUAACCAUAUCCUUGUCCAUGUGUGGUAUCUGUUUAAAAACAUUGCCACCCAGAUCGUUUUAAAAACUUGAUUACCCUAGACACUCAAUCCUCACUGUGCUUGAAGGAUACUUUAAUCUCUGAAAGCUUUGAAACUCUAUCAGAAUCUCAUGCCUUAAAAUUUGGCUAAAAUGUAAAACGUAUACAUUUAUUUUUUUUCCUUGCCUUCUCUUCCUACCCACUUUCUUCAUAAGCAUAGUUUUCUUUAGUAAUUUCUUUGGUUACUACUUCAGCUUCAUUUGUUCUAGAAUGUGGACGUUUUGAGGACACAUUCCAUGUCUCUCAUUCUCUAUUGUAUCAUGGUUGUAGUAUACUAGAUGCUCAAUGCUCAGUAAAUUUGUCAAAAAUAAUACUGUUUUCUUUCUAUACACAGUAUUGGUAAGGUUGAUCUGCAUAUUUCUAACAUUUUUUUCUUUCAUCUUGUUAAUCUAUUUUGUCCUUUUGAUUUGAGUUGGAUAAUUCAUUUACUGAUUUUUGUUACUAAUUUUUGUUUGGUUAUAUUUCAUCUGCUACUUAUUACUUGUAUUGCUGUUUGGUAAAUCAUGUUUUUCAUCUCUGAAAUCUUUCCUCAGGUUAUUCUGAUUUCAUUUUUACAGAUGCAGCAUUCAAAUUCUUUUAAAAUGUUCAGCACCUUGCAUUUUAUUAUUUUUCUUCAACUUAUACCAGAUACUGUGAGACUGUCAAGGUUUUAAAUCUCUUUUUCAGCACUAGGGCAUUUAAACUUUAACAUUAGUGUGUUUAGAACCUGUUAGGACUGGGAAAUAGAAGAAGAUACAGUACCCAUUUCUUCCUUCAGUCCAGCCACCUCAACACAAUUAAAAUGUGGUGUUGGUGCUUGACAUAGUGGCUCACGCCUGUCAUCACAGCACUUUGGGAGGCUGAGACAGGCGGAUCCUGUGAGCCCAGAAGUUUGAGGCCAGCCUGGGCAACAUGAUGAAACCUCAUCUCUACAAAAAGCCACACACAUGGUGGCUUGUGCCUGUGGCCUGAACACUUGGGAGGCUCAGGUGGGAGGACUGCUUGAGCUCAGGAGGAUGAGGUUGCAGUGAGCUGUAACACCAGCCUGGGUGACAGAGCAAGACCCUGUCUCAAAACUAUUAUGAAAUUUUUGUUAGUAAAAAGUUAGGUCUAAGAGUUUUAUUUGCAAAGAUUAACACGUGGGAGUAAUCUCUAGACAUUUUUGACUUCCUCACCUAUUUUGUAAGACCCCCCUGCCCCAGAGAUGGAGAACUCAAUCAGGAAAACAAGCAGAGCUUGAAUACGCACUGCCAUUUUUGAGGGGACCACGAAUUCAGAACUUGAAAGAAUUGGAGUUAUUUCUUCCCUUAAUUAUACUUUGGAGUUUUGCCCUUGGGGCCGAGAGAAUGGAUGUGAGUUUCUCUUUUCUAGGAGUCCAGUCUAAUGCUAGACAUACAUAGUAAUAAGCAGAGUCGGUGCGACAGAAAUUGGUGGUUUCAAGGUAAAGUGAAGAGACCCAUAAUUGUUGAUGUUUUCCACUGAGGAGCCAGCAUGGUUUUAGGCAGAAUAAAGGACAUUGGAGAUUUCAUUUUGGGGUAAUAGGUGACUGUAACCUGGGAUGGGUAAAAAUAAUUACAAAGCAAUGCUUAUACUCAGGUUGGAAACUUUGAAUUUGUACUGCUGCUAAUCUAGAGUUUUUUCCUAGUAGCAUUUACUGCCCUAUACAGGGGUGGAAAAUAAAGCUAGUGUAUUUACUCAAAAUAGGGAUUUGAAGGAAAAUGGGACUGAGCAAAGUAGUGCUCUCUAAUCAGUCCCAAUUUUUGGGAUAAGACUGUUAGAGACUCAUUACUUUUCACAUUAUCAUGUGAAAUUAAUCAUUAAAACCUUAAGUAAAAAUGGAGGUUUUUGGCCAGGCGUGAUGGCUUAUUUCUAUAGUCCAAGCACUUUGGGAGGCUGAGGCAGGUGGAUCACUUGAGGUCAGGAGUUCAAGACUAGCCUGGUUACCAAUAGGGUGAAACCCUGUCUCUACUAAAAAUACAAAAAUUAGCUCAGUUUCUUGGCUCACGCUUGUAAUCCUAGCUACUUGGGAGGCCAAGGUGGGAAGAUCACUUGAACCCAGGAGAUGGAGGUUGCAGUGAGCCAGCAUCAUGCCACUGCACUCCAGCCUGGGAGACAGAGCAGGACUUUGUCUCAAAAAAAAACAAAAACCAUACAUGGUAUGUUUUAGCUCGUUGCACUUACUCUCCUUGUCAAAGCUCAAAUUGUCCCUUUUUUAGCCUGCAGUGCCACUUCUGCUUGGCUCUUGGGUCUUGUAACAAUGCAGCUUAUGCUUAGUUUCCUUGUUGUCCAGUGUGACAAGAUGUUCUUGGCUUAUCUUGCCUAUUUCCUGCCCAGCCACUUUUCCAAGAAGAAUGUGGACAUUUAAAACAAAAAGUUUCAGUGCCCCAGUUGCACCCCAAACCAGCUUAAUCAGAAUCCCUGGUGGGGAUAGGGCCCAGAUACAGACUGGGCCCGUAGGCUGGAGUGCAGGGGUGGGAUCUUAGCUCACUGCAAUCUCUGCCGCCUGGGUUCAAGUGAUACUCCUGCCUCAGCCUUCUGAGUAGCUGGGACUACAGUCAUGAGGCACCACUCUCAGCUAAGUUUUGUAUUUUUAAUAGAAAUUGGGUUUUGCCAUAUUGGCCAGGCUGGUCUCCAACUCCUGACCUCAAGUGAUCCUCCCGCCUAGGCCUCCGAAAGUGCUAUAAGAACAGGCAUGAACCACCACACCCUACCAGGAUACAGUGUUUUUAAAAAUGCACACCUAGCCUUGGAUUGAAAACCACUUGAAGAGGGUAUGCUGCCUUAUCGGGUUUCAUAAGCGCCUUAUCUCUGCACAAGGCUGGAACUUUGAGUGGAGUCUUUUUGGUUAAAGGUCUUAUUGCUACAUGGUGACCUUUCUUCCCUGUCCUGCUUAAAGCUUGUUUCAGAAUUUUGACCGCAGUGCAUCUGUGUUGAAACCCAGGCUUGGUCUGUCAUCCCAGGACUCCGUCGGUCCCUUUUCUUGCCUAAUCCUUGCCCGGAGUUCAGCGCCUCCUGCCUCUCCAGGAUCACCUUCUGGUGGAUCACAGGGUUGAUAUCUGGGGCUACCACCAGCCCCUGGAGAGCAGUGGCCUCUGCUCCUUAAACAAGGAGGACAUGUAGGAAC